GUGUGUGUGUGUGUGUGUGUGUGUGUGUGUGUGUGCGCGUGUGUGCGUGUGUGUGUGUGUGUAUACACACACACACACACAUAUAUAUACAU